CCCCCAUGGCCAAGUACAGGCAGUUCGGGUACUGGGAUCACGACCUCCGCUACUCCAACGGCAUGCUGGAUCACGCCCCGAUCGGGGUUCGAGCCGCCCCCAGCCGCACAAGCCCGGCAGCGGCCGGCGGUUUUCCCGACCCGAGAAGGGCCGGCGGUGCUCGAUUGGUGCUGUUGCGGUCGCCCUCGCUCUGGGUCUAGCCGUGAUGGUGUUGGCUUACUAUUGCCUCUCCAGGGACGGCGAAGAAAGAAAUAGUUACCGAGGCGAAGAAGAUGACUUGAAUAGCGACCUUGACUUCCUUGCAAAUGUAACACGAACUGAGAACGUCAAAGUCCUUGGAUUUGGACGGGGUUCGGUAGCGCAUGGGCGGGAUUCAAGGUAUUGGGACCGGGAUGAUAGGAGAA